UCCCGAUUUUUGUCAUAAAUAGAGUUCAUCGUUGUUUUGCAAACCUUCUUCUUUUUCUUUGAAACAAAAAUAUAGAUCCUCAUGCUAUUUAAUUUAUAUUUUGUAUUAUUUCGUUGAAAUGUGAUCGUCAUUAUUAUUCAUAGUGUAUUCAAGGUACUAUUUUUCAAUUUUUCUUCGGCAGUGGAAUUCAUCAUUUGUUUCUCCAGAAAAUAAAUUUGAAAUUUGCACGCUAUUCAAUAAUAACGCCGGGUCAUUGUUUAUGGACUGUAAAAAUAAACUGUUUCUAGAUUUUAAGUAACACGGUUUCUAGAAUCUAAGUUGCUGUUUCUGGAAUAUAAGUCAUUGUUUCUGGAUCCAAAUGAAAUAGACACAA
rnacentral:lncRNA from 1 species